UACGGAGCGGACGAGCGUUGUCCGGAUUUAUUGGGCGUAAAGAGCGUGUAGGCGGCCGAGCAGGUCCGUUGUGAAAACUGAAGGCUCAACCUUCAGAGGUCGAUGGAAACCGUUCGGCUAGAGCCCGGAAGAGGAGAGUGGAAUUCCUGGUGUAGCGGUGAAAUGCGCAGAUAUCAGGAAGAACACCCGUGGCGAAAGCGGUUCUCGGGGACGGUAAUGACGCUUAGACGCGAAAGCGUGGGGAGCGAACAGG
rnacentral:rRNA from 1 species